AUUGAACGCUGGCGGCAGGCCUAACACAUGCAAGUCGAGCGGAUGAGUGGAGCUUGCUCCAUGAUUCAGCGGCGGACGGGUGAGUAAUGCCUAGGAAUCUGCCUGGUAGUGGGGGACAACGUUGCGAAAGGAACGCUAAUACCGCAUCCGCCCCACGGGAGAAAGCAGGGGACCUUAGGGCCUUGCGCUAUCAGAUGAGCCUAGGUCGGAUUAGCUAGUUGGUGAGGUAAAGGCUCACCAAGGCGACGAUCCGUAACUGGUCUGAGAGGAUGAUCAGUCACACUGGAACUGAGACACGGUCCAGACUCCUACGGGAGGCAGCAGUGGGGAAUAUUGGACAAUGGGCGAAAGCCUGAUCCAGCCAUGCCGCGUGUGUGAAGAAGGUCUUCGGAUUGUAAAGCACUUUAAGUUGGGAGGAAGGGCAGUAAGCUAAUACCUUGCUGUUUUGACGUUACCGACAGAAUAAGCACCGGCUAACUUCGUGCCAGCCGCCGCGGUAACAC
rnacentral:rRNA from 1 species